GCGAUAGUAGCACAACGGCAGUGCGCCGGGCUUCCAGUCCGGAGAUGGCGUUCGAGUCGACCCUAUCGCUCUA
rnacentral:tRNA from 1 species